UACGGGGGGGGUAAGCGUUGUUCGGAAUUACUGGGCGUAAAGGGCUCGUAGGCGGCCAACUAAGUCAGACGUGAAAUCCCUCAGCUUAACUGGGGAACUGCGUCUGAUACUGGAUGGCUUGGAUUUGGGAGAGGGAUGCGGAAUUCCAGGUGUAGCGGUGAAAUGCGUAGAUAUCGGAAGGAACAUCAGUGGCGAAGGCGACUUCCUGGACCAAUACUGACGCUCAGGUGCGAAAGCGUGGGGAGCAAACAGG
rnacentral:rRNA from 1 species